rnacentral:misc_RNA from 1 species
UCCCAGUUUAACUAGGCAGUCUGUCCAGAGUUCCCGCCAUGACGCGCUGGCAACAGGACACGGGGGUUGCGCUCGUUGCGGGACUUAACCCAACAUCUCACGACAUGAGCUGACGACAGCCAUGCAGCAUCUGUGCACGCUCCCUUGCGAGUCCCUUCUCUUACAAGUUGGUACCACGUGCAUGUCAAGCCGAGGUAAGGUUCUGCGCGUUGCAUCGAAUUAAACCACACGCUCCGCUGCUUGUGCGGGCCCCCGUCAAUUCCUUUGAGUUUCAACCUUGCGGUCGUACUCCCCAGGUGGCUCACUUAACGGUUUCCCUUGGACGCACAACGUCUAGCGCCAUACGUCGAGUGAGCAUCGUUUAGGGCGUGGACUAC